UACAGAGGGUGCAAGCGUUAAUCGGAAUUACUGGGCGUAAAGCGUGCGUAGACGGUUAUGUAAGUCGGGUGUGAAAGCCCCGGGCUCAACCUGGGAAUGCCAUUCGAGACUGCGUAGCUAGGGUGCGGAAGAGGGAAGCGGAAUUUCCGGUGUAGCGGUGAAAUGCGUAGAUAUCUGGAGGAACACCGGUGGCGAAGGCGGCAUCCUGGACCGACACUGACGCUGAGGAGCGAAAGCCAGGGGAGCAAACGGG
rnacentral:rRNA from 1 species